GAUGAAGAACGUAGCGAAAUGCGAUACUUGGUGUGAAUUGCAGAAUCCCGUGAACCAUCGAGUCUUUGAACGCAAGUUGCGCCCGAAGCCAUUAGGCCGAGGGCACGCCUGCCUGGGCGUCACACGUCGUUGCCCCCCCAUCUACUCCUUCGGGAUUGCGGGGGGCGGAUGAUGGCCUCUCGUGCGCCUCGUCGCGCGGUUGGCCUAAAUGCCAAGUCCUCGGCGACGCACGCCACGACAAUCGGUGGUUGCGAAACCUCGGUUGCCUGUCGUGUGCGGUCGUCGCGCAUCGAGGGCUCGAAAAAAUUGCCGGGCUUCGGCUCGACUUUCAACGCGACCCCAGGUCAGGCGGGGUUACCCGCUGAAUUUAAGCAUAUCAAUAAGCGGACGA
rnacentral:misc_RNA from 1 species